CUAAAAAAUACUGUAGUUCAUAUUGAUAUAUAAUGGCAAUUAGGAAGAUAGAGAAGCUGAAGGGUUUCAGCAUAUGCCUCAGGGGAUGGGGUUCUUAUAUUGGUCCUUUGAUUUGGAGAGAUGUGAAUAAUUGGAAGUUUUUAUUGUUUUUCAUGAGGGGUUGCCUUUGCAAAGCAUUUGAUCCAUUUGUAUUCUUGCACUGGUGGGUCCAAUGACUUGCGCCAGCAUUUAGAGGUUGAAGCCCAUAAUGGUCAAGUUAAUGACCUGGCUUUUGCUUAUCCAAACAAACAGCUAUGUGUAGUGACGUGCGGAGAUGAUAAGUUGAUAAAGGUUUGGGAUUUAACGGGCCGAAAGCUAUUUAACUUUGAAGGGCACCCAGCGGCUGUAUAUUCUGUAUGUCCUCAUCAGAAAGAGAAUAUUCAGGUA